rnacentral:snRNA from 1 species
GGAUAUGAGGGAUUCCUGUCACCCCAUUAAUUGCCAGAGUUGACUGAGGCUUCUUAGACUGAAUAGGUCAGUGUCCCUACCUCCCUCACUGUUCCAUAUGUGUCCGCUCCAGGAAGCUGUGUGCUCAGUGGAAGAGGAUGGCCUUCUGGGAAUAGAGACAGUUCUUCAGAGAGGGUAUAAGAGUAGGUGCGCUCCCCUGCUUGAAUCCCCAAACAAGUGUGCUCCAAGGUACAUUUGUAGAGAACAUUGGGUAGUCUAGCUUCUAAGACUCCAGACACACCCAAAAGAGGUGCUGCACAUAACAGUCUCUGCCUUUCUUU